rnacentral:rRNA from 1 species
GAUCAUGGCUCAGGAUGAACGCUAGCGACAGGCCUAACACAUGCAAGUCGAGGGGCAGCGGAGAGGUAGCAAUACCUUUGCCGGCGACCGGCGCACGGGUGAGUAACACGUAUGCAAUCCACCUGUAACAGGGGGAUAACCCGGGAGAAAUUCCGGAACUAAUACCCCAUAACUAUGGGCGCUCCGCAUGGAGAGCCCAUUAAAGAGAGCAAUUUUGGUUACAGACGAGCAUGCGCUCCA